UACGUAGGGGGCAAGCGUUGUCCGGAUUUAUUGGGCGUAAAGAGCUCGUAGGUGGUUCGGUAAGUCGGAUGUGAAAUCUCCAGGCUCAACCUGGAGGGGUCAUUCGAUACUGCCGUGACUAGAGGUCGGUAGGGGAGUGUGGAAUUCCUGGUGGAGCGGUGAAAUGCGCAGAUAUCAGGAGGAACACCCGUAGCGAAGGCGGCACUCUGGGCCGAUACUGACACUGAGGAGCGAAGCGUGGGAGCGAACAGG
rnacentral:rRNA from 1 species